AAAAAAAAAAGUCAUUGAAAGACAAAUGCUGAAUUGGUAAAAAACAAACAAAAGAACAACUAUGCAUUCAAACAGAAAUAGUCAUAUUGCAGAAGCUGAUUCAAUACAUCUCUACACUGCGUAAGGAACCCAUAAAAGUUAUUCAGUUUUGUCCUUAAUUGGUCCACCAUUAAACACACUGUGAUCUGUUUGGUUCAAGAGAAAAGCACGGGAAAAAAAUCUUGUCUUUUAGACAGUUUUCUCAGCAAUCAAAGAAUCUUUAAAAG
rnacentral:misc_RNA from 1 species